GUGCUCGCUUCAGCAGCACAGAUAGUAAAAUUGGAAUGAUACAAAGAUUAGUGUGUCUCCUGUGCAAGGAUGACACACAGAUUUGUGAAGGUUACAAUAAAAUU